rnacentral:rRNA from 1 species
UACGUAGGCAGCAAGCGUUGUUCGGAGUUACUGGGCGUAAAGGGUGUGUAGGCGGUUCUUUAAGUCAGGGGUGAAAUCCUGGAGCUCAACUCCAGAACUGCCUUUGAUACUGAAGAUCUUGAGUUCGGGAGAGGUGAGUGGAACUGCGAGUGUAGAGGUGAAAUUCGUAGAUAUUCGCAAGAACACCAGUGGCGAAGGCGGCUCACUGGCCCGAUACUGACGCUGAGGCACGAAAGCGUGGGGAGCAAACAGG